UCAGUGGGUCACCUGUGCAGACCUGGCCAGGAACGAAGUUUGACUCAUGUGAGCCUAGCACUCCCUGAGUCCAGGCGGCGGAUGGUGGAGCCCCGGAUGGGGGCGGCUGGAAGGGAGACGCCGCAUCCUAGGGGUCAGAGGAGCUCCCAGGAAAACCCAGGUUCAGGUGGUGAUGCCACAGACAUCCGUGGCCCGGAAGACAGGAGAGGGCACGUAUGUUUGGAGCUCAGGACAGUGGAGCAUCCACAUUUGGAGAGCUUGCUGCAUUGCUGGAGACUCUGUGCACACAUUGGAGCUGACUUGUGAGCAAGCAGACAGAUCAAGUGCCCACCACCUGUUGGUCCUGCUCCUGCCUUCAGAGCCACAUCCUUCCCCUUCCUCUUGAACCUAGAAUCCACGGAGGGCACACCCAGGGUCUCCCGGUCACUCAGCGGCACGGGGGCAUGAGGAAGGGGGUCCCUCUGGGACAUGGAUUCUGGCACCUUCAGCAUCCUGGUCCCCUUCUGCUCUGGCCAUGCCUCCUUGUAAUUUCCCAGGUCUAACCCAUGCGUGGAUGGACUGGCAGGGCCAUUGCCUUCGUGCAGUGAGCACUUGGUCUAACUCCAGGAGCACAGAUUGCUGUUUUUCAAACAAGCCAGGAACAUUUAAAGCUCCGGGGUCAGGUUUGGACUGAAACAAUGUAAGCAGUUUUUGUGAUUUUCCAGGACAGGUUAAGAUGCACCAAGUCCCAGGAGCGGGGCGUCGUGGCCCAGGCAAGGAGGACCUGAGCAUGGACGCCACCAGGUGGCGGUCUCGGGUCCAGGGCCGCAGGAGAACGUGCACCCCCUGUUGGCGAUGGGUCAGGAUGGGACCCGGGCUUGCUUCCUGCAUGGCCCCUGCUCAGAGAAGAGGGCCCCAAGCUUCCUGCUCUGAGCCCAGGAGCUGAAGCCUCUGAGGACCCCCACAGGCCCUGCGCUGAGGGCAGCGACUCCUCAUCUUCUGGCCUACGUGUGUCUUUGGAAGGUACAUCUGUCUGCCGGGUCGGAGUGAAGUAGACGAGGAGAAAUGCCUUAACCAACUGGCCCUGAGACUCCAUCUGGUGGUUCCUGGAUUCAAGGAUCACAGUAUCUGCUGGUGAAGGUCAGCCAGGGUACGGCCACCCCAUUAACAAUGGAACAGCAAGGCCUUGAAGAAUGGAGGUGUUGGCAUAAAUGGAGGGGGCGGUGAGAGGACAGUGAGCCCCACUUAGUAGCCUAUCAGGAUCACUGGAAGCCCUUCCUGACCUGAGUAGUGUCUGUAUGAUCACAUGACACCUGAAUGUCCACUACAUCCAUUCAGUUCAACACACUUUACUGAGCACCUACUAUGUGCCAAGCAUGCUACUGGGCUCAUAUUAUAAGGAUGAUAAAGAUGCAGUCCCUGCCUUUAAGGGCCCAUGUCUUCUUGUGGGAGAGAGACACAUGGAGAGGAUGUUUCAGCCCCACAAGCUGGGUGCAGGGAGGGUGAUGCCCAGGGCACCUCAGAUGCCCCAGACAGCGGGUUGGGGACACACAGCUGGGCUGUCCUACCUGCCUCAGGGCACAAGGUCUCCCCCCAGCACAGACUCCAGGAAGCAGUCAAUACCUGUCAUUUCAAACCAUGAGACUGAAUGGAAAUACUUUUUUAAAAAGCCCCCAUUUUCAGGAAAUAACUUAGCCUGGUUUACCCAGGGGCACCUUUAGCCCAUGGAAAUCCACCAUGGGAAGCCAUUUGUUUAAAUACUCACACACAUCCCCGGGCUCCCGUCCCAUGCCAGGUGCUCCCUCCUUCCCCAGCAAACUUGUCUGUCUAGGCUGGUUUGGGCUAAUUACUGAGCAAUAAAUAUUCUGAUUUUUACACAUUGGCUCUGCUCAGAGCUGCCAAGAACAUUCAGCCUGGGGCUGGGUGCAAGAGGAAGACACAUUUUUUCAUUAUUUUACCUACAAGAUUCAUCCAAAGGUGGGGAAAUAGGUCCAUUGCCCUAACUGGCUAGUUGGAUAAGAACCAAUUCCUCAUUAAUUUUAAGUAUGUCAACUGGAGAAGGUGAUUAAAGUGAGAACGACUAAUGAGUGGCUUUCCUGGGAACAGACAAAAACACAUGCAAGACAUGGGACAGACCCAGGUAGGCCCUGGGCUUACACACAGCCACCCUUGCUAGCUCUGCCAGGGCACUGGGCUCUGGAGGGGCUCCGUGGAUUCUCCCUCCCAUGGCGAGGUCUGGUGCUGCCUGGGCAGCCCAUGAUCCCUACACAGCGAUUUGGACUUUGCUCAGAUGAAGUAGAAAUAGGAGAUGAAAUACUGCAGGCUCUUGGCAUCUUUCUAAGUGGCCUUGGGAGGCCCGGAUAACAUUAAGGGAGCCCGAGCCACUUAGUGGUUAUGUACAGCCAUCCACAGCCAAGGAGCAAAGCUGUUGGCCUGUAUUAACCCACUUGCUGUCCACUACUCUGUAAAGCAGGCAGGUCUCUGCUGUGUUCAGGGGAAGAAGGCUGCUUGGUUUCUUAGAGCAGCUUAGAAGACCAGCCCCUGGUACCAUCCUCAGAUUGAUAGAGGGGGAACCCUUUGCCCUUGCAAAAGGGGAAGGAAGGGUGGGAGGAGGGCAUGUCAACAAGAGAGGGACCAGCAUCUAGAGUAAGCUGGGCUACUGCCUAUUAUCCAGCUCCUUUGUAGGAAGACCUCCAAUCCACUCUGGAGUUUUUACAGGGUUUUUUACAGUGCAUUUUCUGUUUUCUCAGCCUCCUCUUUGUGGAUGAUUCAGAUGAUUCAGUCUGGUGACCCAGACCAGACCAAUCAGAAUAGUGCAUGCUUCUGGGCAUGUGACUCUGCUAGACCAAUCAGAAUCAAUCUAGGACUUUUCUGGAGGUAUUGAAAAAAGAGCUUCUUUUUACCAGGUUGCUAAGCUGCUGGAACGUAAGUUACUUUGCCAUCAUUGGGAAAGAAUUGGCUUGGAAUAAAGCCAGUGCAAAAGAAGGCAGAGCUAAGAUUAAGAGAAAUGGAACCCUAACAACAUGGUUUUAGUUCUUGGGUCAAGCUAUGCCUGAAACCCUGGGGUUUUUCAGUUACCUGAGCCAAUGCUACCUCUUUCCUUAAUAAGCUUGGGUUUGAUUUCUAUAGUUUAUAACCGAAGACUUCUGUUCAAUAAUCUAAAUAUAUAACCUUGGACAAGUUAUAUUUCUGAGGCUCAGUUUCCUCAUAGGUAAAAUAGGGACCCCAAUUCCCCAUCUGUACCUAUUGAAGAGAGCCAACCAUAUGACCAAAGAUGUAAUAUUUCCUUGGCCACAUUAACCAUUUUCGCCCUUGCAGAAUAGGCCUAGGCAGAUUGCGCAACCUCCUUGGAAUGGGAACAAUUUGAAUAUGGAUAUGCAAAGGAAUCUGUACUCUUGUAUGGGAAUAUUUUUCCCCAAGGAUAAUUGCACUUUUAAAAAUUGUUAUUUUGAGGAGUUUGCAUUGUGGCACAGCAGAAAUAAAUCUGACCAGGAUCCAUGAGAAUGCAGGUUUGAUCUCUAGCCUCACUCAGCGGGUUAAGGAUCCCAUGUUGCCCUUGAGCUGCACACUAGGACACAGACACAGCUUGGAUCCCCAGUUGCUGUGGCUGUGGCAUAGGCCAGCGACUGGAGCUCAGAUUCGACCCCUAGCCUGGGAACUUUCAUAUGCUGCAGGUGCGGCU
ensembl:lncRNA